AAUGAAAAUGACUGUUUCGACAAUGAAAAUGAUUGUUUCGAUACUGAAAGUGAGGUUGAAAGAUGUCUUCUUAGUAGGAGUUCAAGGAGUCAUUCGAUAAGACCAAAGCACACUAUGGAGCUCCUUGGCCCAAAGCCCUUCAGUUUGACUAAGCCUCGACCUCAACCAUUGAAGGAUUGUGUGAUUUGUCACCUCAAUUUCUUGAUUAG
rnacentral:lncRNA from 1 species